GCCCUUUCGGGUAACCUCUAACAAGCUAGAAAAGGUCUUCAUACUAAGCUAAAGCCAGAGCCAUUAUAGCCCUCAUGGUUGCACUGUUGUCCCGGGUGAUCACGUACAGAUAAAUCAUAAAGUGGCUAAAAAGUCAUUUUUAUCAUUUAUUACUUAACAUUAAUCUAGUCACAGGAUCAUGGUCACACAAAUAAAAUCCAAAUGCUAUACUUGCCUUAAUUCAAAUGCUCUUGUUGAUCCUGCUUGUCUUACUAGUUGCCAAGGCUCUGAUCUUGAUCACUGAAGCACUCUUGAUCACCACGAAUUGCCCACCGACUAAUUCCGAUCAUCGAUCACAAACACACAAACAAUCGGGGCCAAACAUACACGAAGCAAACAAUAGAACUAAAUUAGAACAAACACCAAACAAUAAAAAUGGUUUGAAAACUAAUCUACACAUUGCUACAAGCACCAAGACGUGAAAAGCACUCUAAUUAGAGCUAUGCCAAAAUAGAAACAACUACCGAAAGAUUUACUUUUGAAACUUAUUUAUUUUAAUUAUAUAAAAAUUAUAUAUAGAAAAUUCUAGAGAAAUAUCAUGUUAAGUCAAUUUGUAUUUUGAAAUAGAAAACCAAAAUAAACUAAUUAUAUCUUAUUUAUAAAUCCAAUUGCAUAAUUUUUUUUAUGUAGUUAUUAGGGAAUACCUUCGGGAUAUAUAUAUAUAAGAUGAAUUUUCUUGAAUUGAGGAAUAAAUGGAUAAUAGUAAUCUAUUAUGCAUGAAUGACAUGUACGUGACCUGGUCAGCAUCAUCUUUAAUCAAUAAAAUAAUACACAUCUUUAAUCAUGCCUGCAUGAAUUAAGCUGGUUACGUGUGUAAGCACUCCUAUUUAUUAUUUUUUUAUUGCAGGGACUCGGAUAUUGCACCAAAGUGAUGUUAGCAUGACAUCAGCACCUGAUUUAGUAAUAGAGUAAUAUGACAAGAACUAAUCUGGCCGCUAACCUUUCGUUAAUCAUGGUGCACUUUAGCGUAUGCUUCAUCAGCUAGCUCGCGUGGUCAGGACGAUCACAGCUGAGGUACUUCAUGCUAGCGAACACGGACGCGGUGGUUGGAUGUGUAGUAGAUGUAGAUGAAAACAAGAUAGCCUGCUAGCUUAUCCCUUCGUGACCGGCAAC
rnacentral:lncRNA from 1 species